UGGAUGGCGGCAGCUACACAUGCAGUCGAGCGGAACGAUACCAGCUUGCUGGUAGGCGUCGAGCGACGGACGGGUGAGUAAUACUUAGGAAUCUACCUAGUAGUGGGGGAUAGCUCGGGGAAACUCGAAUUAAUACCGCAUACGACCUACGGGAGAAAGGGGGCAGUUUACUGCUCUCGCUAUUAGAUGAGCCUAAGUCGGAUUAGCUAGAUGGUGGGGUAAAGGCCUACCAUGGCGACGAUCUGUAGCUGGUCUGAGAGGAUGAUCAGCCACACCGGGACUGAGACACGGCCCGGACUCCUACGGGAGGCAGCAGUGGGGAAUAUUGGACAAUGGGGGAAACCCUGAUCCAGCCAUGCCGCGUGUGUGAAGAAGGCCUUUUGGUUGUAAAGCACUUUAAGCAGUGAAGAAGACUCCUCGGUUAAUACCCGUGGACGAUGACAUUAGCUGCAGAAUAAGCACCGGCUAACUCUGUGCCAGCAGCCGCGGUAAUACAGAGGGUGCAAGCGUUAAUCGGAAUUACUGGGCGUAAAGCGAGCGUAGGUGGCUUGAUAAGUCAGAUGUGAAAUCCCCGGGCUUAACCUGGGAACUGCAUCUGAAACUGUUAGGCUAGAGUAGGUGAGAGGAAGGUAGAAUUCCAGGUGUAGCGGUGAAAUGCGUAGAGAUCUGGAGGAAUACCGAUGGCGAAGGCAGCCUUCUGGCAUCAUACUGACACUGAGGCUCGAAAGCGUGGGUAGCAAACAGGAUUAGAUACCCUGGUAGUCCACGCCGUAAACGAUGUCUACUAGUCGUUGGGUCCCUUGAGGACUUAGUGACGCAGCUAACGCAAUAAGUAGACCGCCUGGGGAGUACGGCCGCAAGGUUAAAACUCAAAUGAAUUUGACGGGGGCCCGCACAAGCGGUGGAGCAUGUGGUUUAUUCGAUGCAACGCGAGACCUUACCUGGUCUUGACUAUCUAGAAUCCUGCAGAGAUGCGGGAGUGCCUUCGGGAAUUAGAAUACAGGUGCUGC
rnacentral:rRNA from 1 species